rfam:Triticum aestivum genome assembly, contig: Triticum_aestivum_CS42_TGACv1_scaffold_130094_2BL
UAUAUACUUUCUCCGUCCGAAAAUACUUGUCAUCAAAAUUGAUAAAGAGGAAUGUAUCUAGAACUAAUAUACAUCUCCUUUUAUUCAUUUUGAUGACAAAUAUUUCCGGACGGAGGGAGUAUGAU